rnacentral:lncRNA from 1 species
AGAAUUGUGGUUUCAGGCAUAUGGCUUUUGCUAUUAAGCUUUAUUGUCGUCUCUUAUUGGUGAGAAUGAUAUAUUGUUUAAAACUAAGGAGUUGUGAUAGCAUGUUACUGAACCUACAGCAAAAUACCAUCUCAGUUACAUUUAUGAUUUGAUGCCUAAACUAAUGGAAUGAGCAUGAGAGCAGCAAUGAGUGGUGCAUGCAAAGAAUUGGGACAUGGACAAAAAACAGGCUAUUUCUUAUUUAUUGGCAACUUUUUACAAAAUUGAGAGCGGCUGGCAGUUGUCAGAAAGAAGGCCUGGAUGGUCAAUCUCCUUGUACCGAUGGGAAAAUGAACCGGUUCUCUGGAUUUAUUCUAGUCAAACACAGAGCCAGGCUGAACAGGGCUUUUGCUGCUCCAUCUUUGAGUUCCUGGGCAACUAUGUGGCUCCCUGAGCUUUUGUUAAGAAAAGCAGAAGCACCAGGGCACCCAGAUCCUGACGGCAUGUGGUAGGUGGAGAUUGCUCUCCUGCCCUGCAAGUUGGGCAAAUAGGAUGAAAAUUUCUGCACGUUUGAAGGUAUGUAUUCUGUCAGCAAUCUAUUUCUGCAAGUUCUCUUUUGGAGGCAUUAAUGAUGAAUAUGAGCUGCUUUCUACAAAUCCUUUAAGGUCAUCCUAAUUGGCAUUCUUUUUCUUGUUGUUAUAAAGCCUUUCAGAGACUUACUACAUAUUCUUUUAUUCGCAGCAGCAUAUUAAUGACCCUUCCUUUGGAAUUUGAUUAAAGCAGC